AGAGUUUGAUCAUGGCUCAGAACGAACGCUGGCGGCAGGCCUAACACAUGCAAGUCGAGCGGAAACGAGAAGUAGCUUGCUACUUCGGCGUCGAGCGGCGGACGGGUGAGUAAUGCCUAGGAAGUUGCCCAGUAGAGGGGGAUAACCAUUGGAAACGAUGGCUAAUACCGCAUAUUCUCUUUGGAGCAAAGCAGGGGACCUUCGGGCCUUGCGCUAUUGGAUACGCCUAGGUGGGAUUAGCUAGUUGGUGAGGUAAUGGCUCACCAAGGCAACGAUCCCUAGCUGGUCUGAGAGGAUGAUCAGCCACACUGGAACUGAGACACGGUCCAGACUCCUACGGGAGGCAGCAGUGGGGAAUAUUGCACAAUGGGCGAAAGCCUGAUGCAGCCAUGCCGCGUGUAUGAAGAAGGCCUUCGGGUUGUAAAGUACUUUCAGUCGUGAGGAAGGGGGUAAGCUUAAUACGCUUAUCUCUUGACGUUAGCGACAGAAGAAGCACCGGCUAACUCCGAGCCAGCAGCCGCGGUAAU
rnacentral:rRNA from 1 species